rnacentral:lncRNA from 1 species
AGCUCCUAAACCCUAAGUUUGCUUGCUAACGUCCCUUCACCAUCGCCAUAUCAUUUGGCUUCAAAUUACAUAGACGAACUAGAAAUCUCGAGCUUUCUCUUGCCUUACUUCAUCUUAAUUAAAUCCUUACCAAUGAAUGGCUUCAUUUCUUUCGUUUUACUUUUCGGCAGCUGGCACUUCUCUUCUCUACCCGUACAGCAUGAGAUUUUUCAAUUACUCUGGUAAAUUUCGUUUCAUAAUCGUUUAGAGUUUCGUUAGUUUAUAAUUUUUUAUACUCAUUGUUUGAACUAACGUUGCGAUGUCGUUGAUUUACUUGUUCUUUAUGUUUUUGAUUUGAUUAUUUUUUAUUCGCCAUCUGAUCUGAGUUAAAAUUCCCAGAUCUGUACGAGAUGUGGUGUCGUUGAUUUACUUGUUCUUUAUGUUUUCGAUUCGAUUGUUUUUGAUUCAUAUCUGAUCUGAGUUAAAUUUCCCGGAUCUGUACAAGAUGUGUCAACGAUUUACUUGUUCUUUAUGUUUUCGAUUCAAUUGUUUUUGAUUCAUCAUCUGAUCUGAGUUAAAUUUCCCAGAUCUGUACAAGAUGAUCAACAGCAGAAAUGGGGAUUUUGUUACAUAUGCUAUGAUGGACCUCUAACAGCUUGAGAGCGUGACAAUUUCACGCGAACGAAUUUCUAUUGCUACUCGAUGAUAACUGGGUGAACUCUAUAUCGGAUAAAGGCAAAAUAAUGUAACCGUGAAGAUGUUUUCGAUAAGUUCCUUUGCUUCUUUUCUGGCCUCGGCUAACAUAGAGUUCACCUGGUUAUCAUCGGGUAAUAAUGGAGGUUGUUUAACUUUAAACAAUAAACAAUGGGUUGAUUCGCGUGGCACAAAUGUCACUCUCUCAUGCUGUUUAAGGUACUUUAUAGGUUGAUCUAAUCUCAAGGACAUUAAUCAAUAAUUUCAAGGGUAAGUUAAAGGACACUUCUUUAGCAGAAGCCGAGACAAAGCAGAGAUUGCUCGAAAACACUCGCAGAUCAAACAAUUCGAUCAACAAUUUGUAGAAGAUAUGUCAAUGUUUACAAAUCUAAUUAUUAAAUUUGAUUUUAUGAUCUAAAUCUCAAUUUAACUUUCUAACCUAGUUUAUGCAGGUACUUUAUGCAAAUCAGGGUUAUAAUUGAUAUGCAGGUAUUAUUAUUUCAUCUCUCUUUUGUAAAUCAUAUUCUAAUUAUACUGUCUUUUCUCAUGCACAGACCUGUUUUUAGACUUAACAAAGAAGUUGUUAAGCUUGUUAAGCCAUUUUCAGCUAUAGUACUUUUAUUUGGUUGUUAGUUUUGAAUACAAAAUUUUAGGCUUAUAUUUCGGAUGGUGCUUAGUUAAGCAUAAAGUGUGUUAACCUCUCGAUAUACCUAUAUACCUAUAUAUAUUGCAUUGAACAUCAAUUGCCUUAAGUGGCGUUUGGAAACUCCGAUUUCAAAACAUGGAUUUGGGUUUGCAAGCUUUAUGAAAUAAUAAUCAGAUUAAAUCUUGACUAGUUUAUAUACCUAACCCUAGACACAUCAUUUGUAUGAUUUAUUAUUCUCAAUGAAAUACAAAUCUGAAUCUUCAAAAUUCAUGUUUUCAUAAAUAACUUCUACUUUGAAAUCAUGACUUGUUAUCUAUAUCUGUUGUUGUAACUUUUUUCAGCAUGUCCGUGGAUUGAUAUGGAAGAAACUACUGCAACUAAUGAUCUUGUUAUUGUUAAUCAAGAUCAUGUAAGUUUUCCAACUCGGGAAGUGUUAAUGGCUAAUUUUAUUAGUAUGAAAAACAAAAAAGUGGAUCAUACAGAUUUCAAAGGCUUAAACCAGGCCUUGAAGAACACUACCGGGGGGGGGACCAGAUUACUUGAAGCAAAUUGGUAUAAGAAUCCAAGAGGCUAACGGUAAAGCUAUCUAGGAUCUGCAGAUUCGAGUUCUGGUCUGUGCUGCAAUCAAAUAGAUGGAAUAUUUGUCGAUUGAGGAUUUCGAUUGGAGUAAAUUGAAAAAAUGGGGAGCAAAGGAACUUGGUUUUCAAGUGGAAUUUGCUGAUAAACUAUUGAUGAAGAUUUCGCUUGCCUGUUUUGCGUACUCAACAACGGUUGGAUGAUACUUGGGAAAAAAAAUAUUUCUAGUUUCUCUUAAUUUCAAUAUCAGGUAAACUAGUCCUUUUCAAAAAACCAGAGCAAUUCAAUUUCUUUCUUUCGAUUUUGAAGUGAGCAACUAAGGAUAAUUCAUUACAAUAUUUAUAUUUUUUAUUAAUUGUAUAUAAUUUUAAUUAUUAUAAUAAUAAAUUUAGAUCACAGUAUUUGUGUAGAUGUUGAAAAAAUUUAUGGUAAA